GCCCUGAUGGUCUAGUGGUAUGAUUCACCCUUAGGGAGCUCUUCGGGAUUCAAUUUGAACCCCGAUUUUCCGUGUGGGUGAGGUCCCCGGUUCAAUUCCGGGUUAGGGCC